UUUUCUUUGAGAUGCGCAGUGUUGUGGGGUCGGGAUGGUUGACUGUUGUUGUUUGGUAGAGCAUCAAAUACUAAUUUUCCCUACGUUACCGUAUUUUAAUAAUAGAAUGGAGUUGGUACUGUAAUAUCCAGAAACAGUAAUUAAUGAAAGUACUGCUGUAACGGGUGUCAGUAGUCGUUUGUGUUCGACGUUGUGUUAUCUGGAGAGCACGCCGACAUUGUUCCAUAGAAGAAUGUGUUGGCCAACAAAAAAGGCUCACAGGGGCCAGAGUUCAGCUGUGCUCACGUAAACUGCCGAGCUGUUUCCUGUUUUCUGUGCGACUCCACCCGGCGGCUCUGAACCAUUCAUUCCCAGCUGCAAGUAGCAGAGCACUCAUCACAUCACCAUGGUGCGCCGGGACUUGUUUUUAAGGUUGGAAAAGACUUGCGCAUGUGCAAUACAAAGGGUACCCUCCGGCAGCUCACACCCAUCCAAGAGAACUACUUUCCAAUCGUAUAAUCUAGGGCUUCUUGCUUAGAUACACAGAGAUGGACCACAAGCACACACAAACAUGAACAUCAUCACAAUGUCAAUUGGGGAAACUUUCCAAAAGUUACCAAUCACUGGUCCACUGAUGUAGUUGUCUAGUUGGGCAGGGACACCCUGGAGGAUCGUGUUCCUGAAGGCCUUGCUCUCUACCACCUUCCCAUGAAUCCCAUCAAUGACCGUCAGCUGCACACCAUCUUCUGCUUGGUACAACUUCCUCCCAUUGACCUGGAAACCAGCCAAAUACAAGAUCCUGAGCUACACGACACACCAUUCAACUUUUAUUGUUGUAGUAGCUGCCUGCGUUUCCUGUUUGUGCUUCAUUUUAGCAGCUUUAAAGGGGAACUGCACUUUUUGGGGAAUUUUGCCUAUUGUUCACAAUCAUUCUGAAAGAUAUGACGACGGACAGAUUUUUUUUUUAAUGCAUUCUAACUUGUAAAUAAAAGUCUGCUUACAGCGGAGCCAAUGGGAGCGCCUCUAUUUGCCCAUAAAAUCCAAUAAAUAACCAUUUCAAAAAGUGCCAACAAUACUCCAUUUACAUUUCGUGAUUUGAAUAUUAACUAAGUAUUAGUGAUAUUGUUAUUAUAAGCACUAUCGCAGACGAAAAAAUUAUAGCAGCGCCGUGAUCAUUUUUGUGUGUCCCUGUUUACAUCAUCGCGUGGUCUGCUGCUUCCUUGCUCCCUGUAAGUUAAUUGUAGAUCAUAAAUCAUGCAUCUCACCUGGACAUGAUAAGUCUGAGUAGAUAUUCCGACAAGUUGGUACACUUUGACAGCCAUUUAGGACCCGAAACUGGCGACGACGACACGAAAAAAACGCUUGUUCCCAACCGCCCCAUCACCCUGUUUCUUCGUGACUAUUAUGAGACAUUCUUCACUUAAAUAGGAAUAAAUGAACAUCCCAGCAGUUGGCAUCCUAAUGACAGCAGACCUUACACAGAAAGUGAUGUUUUAUUAUGUCUGUUGGCUCUCAUAAAGUCUGCAGUGAGCAGAAAUCGGUGAUGUAGAAAAAAAAGAAGCAAAUAGGUAAAUAUUAAAUGUCAUUAUAAAUGUUCUUUUCUCGAGGCAGCGCAUAGCCGCUUUGACGACUCCAAUAAUAAAACACAGAUUGUGAAGGUCAUUAAAGAAGUGCAACUCUCCCGCCAUACUACUACAAGGCGAUGCAAGGGAAUGGCUGUGGCUGUGGAGGAGCAACUGAGGAAGGAUACUGAUGCAUUUCGGACCAGGAAUCGUCAGAGAAGGCUUUUCCAUGCUCACUUGGAGGAGAAUGAUGUUGAGCACAAAGAUCUGCAGAUCACGUGGUUGU